AGAGGUUAUCCGUGUUCUGUUC
rnacentral:miRNA from 12 species